UGGGCUGUGUCAGGAGCUGGAUGUGGCCAGGCUGCAUCAGGAGCACUGAGCACUGCUGAGAAUAACUGGCUCAUCUUCUGGAAACUGGCAGAGUGAAGCCUCCUGCACUACAGGACCAGCUGUGCAUAAACACCUGCAGAAAUGAACUUGCCUAACAUUCCAGAGGACUAAGCUGCCACCUGACCUGACAUUGCUGAUGGACAAAUAACAAGUCUGUAUUUACAGUGCCCUAAGCUAGCACAGAUACUGURUCUUCCUAGUAGAAGCUGUACUACUUAAGAGUGCCUUCAAAACAGAACUCAUGAACAUACUGUAAGUAUUUUUUAACAAAUACAGUCCACAAGAAAUGACAAGCUAUAAAAGUUGCUGGCUAGCUGCUUUCCAUCUGUUGCUAUGCAGCAAACUCRCAAAUUGAUUGGUGACAGCACACUAACUGAUGCCAUAAAAAUUCUU